AGUCCCCAGUCGCCUUCCUGGGAGGUUUGGUUCGUAUUGACGGUUCUCAAAGCAAAGAAAACGUGGAGAGACAGUGCUGCGCGCGGCUUGGAUCUCCGUCAAUACGGUACUAGCGGGAGCUUCCGAGGUCAACCUAGGGUCCACGGGGACCCUCCUAGUGGACAUGCGGGGAUUGGAGGUGGAGUCCUUGCUGUGCAACCCGAUCCGGUCCAUCCAGCCUGGUCUUAGCUCAACUCUGCAUUCUUAUGGCGGAGGAAAGCUAAGAUAGAGACAGCUGGGACCCGCGGAAUUUGAGGCGCGCGCUGGGAUCUUACGUGCGCAGAGGCCGGACCGCAGAGUAGAAGAAACGUUUGAAUGGGAAUGGGAGAGGAGAGCAGAAAUGGGAAGGAAAAAGAAGAUUCCAGAGCAGUAACGUAAUUAAACAUUCUCAAUCCACAAAAUGACUGCAAAGCAGAUAACCAGAGUCCUGAUGAUUAACUGCCGUCAGUGGAACUGCCUGUUUUUCCUCAAGUGGAUCUUU
rnacentral:lncRNA from 1 species